GGGGAUUUAGCUCAGUGGUAGAGCACUUGCCUAGCAAGCACAAGGCCCUGGGUGGUCAGUCCCCA
rnacentral:tRNA from 1 species